rnacentral:lncRNA from 1 species
UCACCCUUAUCUCUUCCCUUGAUUCUUCUCCACAAAAUUCAAAACCCUAGCCCCCAUUUUGUUUUUCCUCAACACACACAAUCUGGAUAUCUAGAGAAAGAGUGAGAGUUGAAAGAAAGAGAGGGGCAAGAUGCAGCGAUGACAUCCGGCCGGCCACCUGGUCAUGACGGCGCUGCGGUUGUGGUUUCCCGGUGGUGUUUUAGUGGCAGAAGGGUUGUGUGGGUGCGACCGGGGUUUAAGGUGAUGACGGGAUGGGUGGUAAGGAGCAGGAGAGGCAACUGAGUGGUACACAGUGGCUCGAUGGGGAUGCACGACCACCACAGCGGCGGUAAUUGGUGCGGUGGUGGAUUGAACACCGAUUUGAUAUCUAAACGCACAAGGUUGAACACCGAUUUGAAGAAACCCUAACCUAAUUGCAGUUAAUGUUGGGCACUUGGAUUUGUGGUGUGGAACUUGCAAUCCCAAGUGGAAAAGUUAAAUAAAUGAUUCGAAGAGGCGCAACAAUCCCACACGGAAGUGUUGCAAAACCAAGUCGAAGGGAUGCAACACAAAUGAGAGAAGAUAUGCAACGACAAAUAACCGAGUUGAUGAAGCAGUUUGGUAAUCCUAGCAAUCCUCCACCAUAGUUUAGUUUUGUUUGUUUUCUUUUGCGGUUGAACUUGUAAUUUAACAACCGUGGCAUAUUUUCUUGUUGAACCUACAAUUAGACAAUGGUUUUGUAUUUUGUGGAUGAACUUUAAGUUCUAUAAUCGUGUCGUAUUUAGGAUUUUUAUUGGAUUUUUUUUUCUACAUUUUUAGUAGAAAAAAUCUGGAUUUUUUAUUUUU